rnacentral:rRNA from 1 species
GACGAACGCUGGCGGCGUGCCUAAUACAUGCAAGUUGAGCGCUGAAGGUUGGUACUUGUACCAACUGGAUGAGCAGCGAACGGGUGAGUAACGCGUGGGGAAUCUGCCUUUGAGCGGGGGACAACAUUUGGAAACGAAUGCUAAUACCGCAUAAAAACUUUAAACACAAGUUUUAAGUUUGAAAGAUGCAAUUGCAUCACUCAAAGAUGAUCCCGCGUUGUAUUAGCUAGUUGGUGAGGUAAAGGCUCACCAAGGCGAUGAUACAUAGCCGACCUGAGAGGGUGAUCGGCCACAUUGGGACUGAGACACGGCCCAAACUCCUACGGGAGGCAGCAGUAGGGAAUCUUCGGGCAUGGACGAAAGUCUGACCGAGCAACGCCGCGUGAGUGAAGAAGGUUUUCGGAUCGUAAAACUCUGUUGGUAGAGAAGAACGUUGGUGAGAGUGGAAAGCUCAUCAAGUGACGGUAACUACCCAGAAAGGGACGGCUAACUACGUG